AAUUUUUUACACAUUUAACCUUUUAAAAGUGUGUCAAAUACACACUACUUUUUUCUUUAUCAAUUUUUCAAAACAUGUGUGAUUUCACGCUCCAAUCAUAUAGUGAUACGCGUCACUAUUUUUUAUUUAAAAAAUAAAAUACUUAAAAUUACACCUAUACCCCUUAACCAUCUUAUCCAUUUCAUAUCUUUCUCUUCUCCAUGGGAGAUUGACGCCAAACACCACCAAAUAUCCACAUUUAAUCACCUUCAUAUUAUAAAGCAAAUUAGGAACUCAAGUACAUUAAUCAUGAUUUUGUGAGUCUAGAUUCAAAAUCUGACACAAGAAAUAUAAUGCAAAACUGAGAACUCCAUUAAAGUUGGUUAUCGACAAAUCCAUGGCUGCUCGAUUCGUGGUAUAGAUUCAAACCCAGAUUUAUAAAAUUCUCUUAAUAUAGAUUUCUUUUAACUUUCUUUACCAAUUUCUUCCAGAGCUAUUUUAUAUUAUUGUUAUUCUUAAAAUGGUGGACAUGGAAGAUGAGGAAAAUGGGUGGGGAAAAAGACAAAAAUGGAAAAAGGGGGAAGGGGGAAGGGCAGCAACGAACCGGUUCUUUGUUUUCUAUGGGAGAGGGAGGGAAGUUUUUUAUGGUGAGAUUUUGGAGAAACGAAAAUGGGAAAAGGGGGAAGGUCAUCAACAAUCUGGUUGUUUUUCUUCUAUGGGAGAGGGAGGAAAGUUUUCUAUGGCGAGAUUUGGAGAAAACAAAAAGGGAAUAAUUUCUCCAUUGUUGCAAGAGCUGGUUGUUUGUUGAAGCUCUUGACAAAAAAGAUGAUAUUUUUAAUUAAAAAAUAAAAAUGGAUAUGUGUCAGUUACACACGAGACUUUACAGAUUUCUUUUCCUAUUCACUCGCCUAAUUUGUGUGUAAAACACGCUCAUGCCAUGUAAUCAAAAUGGUGUGUAACUGACACACUUUUAAAAGGUUGAGUGUAUAAAAGGUUACCCGUGAUCAACAAGUGUGUAACAGGGAUUUUGGUACAAGUUCAGGUGCUAUUUUGUGUAUUCUGCCUUUUUUCUUUAAAUAAGAAAAUGAGUUAACCCAGAAUUAGGAAAACUUACGUAAAUGUCUCAAAUAAAUCUCAACUUAUCAACCUCUAGCUAUUAGUUAUAGACUUAUCAAAACUAGCCAAGCACAUAUAAAAAUUAAAAAACCAAAUAAAUAAGGUUCUUUCUCUCAAAGAAUCACAUGCAAAAAUCUCCUUUCAUAUUAGCAACAUUAGAUGCAAGAGGGAAAUGAAAUUUCAUGGAUGAGGUAGCAAAUAAGGUAAUGAAUCUUCCAUAUUUUUAAGCGUGAUUAGCAACAUUAGAUGCAAAAUGGAAAGGAAAUUUCAAGGAUGAAGUAGCAAACGGUGAUGAAAUCCAAAACUAAUUUUUUUUUAUGAAUUGGCCAAAAAUCUAAGCAAAAAAAUAAAUUUUUUCAAUGGAUAUAGUUGAAAUUCAUUAAAAACAUAUUGAUAAGUCAAUAUACAAAACUUGAGGAAGAUUGGAGGUGAUUUGAACUGGUUUUGUAUCAAAAUUCAUAAUUAAAUCAAGUUCAAAAAAUUCUUUUGCGACACAUGUAUCAUGCAUGUAUCUCAUAUACAUGUAUAUAUAGAUAUACACGUGAUACACAAUUGAUAUAAAUAUGAUAAAUAUGUGAUAUAAAAAUGCUACACAAUGUGAUACACAUAUCAUUUUUUAUGUUCAGUUUUUACUUCGAAUUUUCAAUUCAAACCACCUCAAAACCUCACCAAAUCAUCCAAAAACUGAGAUUCAAGCUCCUUAAACCCAAUCUAUUCUAAUAAGACCCAUUCAAAAGAAAGCAAAAAAUUUUAACCUCUUUUUCAUACAAAUAACUAAUUGGCUAAUAUUAGUAAUAUUUGAUAAAUAUUAGUAAUAUUUUAUGAAUUGGUCAAUUUUUAUAAUGAACCACUUAUAAAUAAACAUAACUGAUAGUUUCUCCCAAAAUUAAUCAGAUAUCUAACAAACUUUUUGUAAAAAAGCUUUACAAAAAAACUAUAAGCAAUCAAAUAAGUUGGAUAUAAAUGUAGAAUAGAUGAACACUAAAGUGGGGAGAGUAGGUGAAAGUGGAAUAAUUGAGCUUACACACCCACUAUCUAGAAUUUGUAUAGAGUCCUUACAAAGUAUUGAAAUAUAUACAUAGUCGUUGUUAGUUUAUUUAGUCAUCGACAACUUUGAGUGUUUAUUUAAUAAUUUAUAUGGUUGAUAGUAUACUUUGUAUGGGUCAGAACUCAACUCGUGAUAAUUAAUGAGAUUAAUUCUCUCAUAAGCAUAUUCGGGUUGAUUAAAGGAACAACCAUUCGUUAAUAAUAAGUGCUCAAAGAUCGCUCAGCCCAACCAACUAAGGCUACAACCUACUCGCUAUUGACGGACGUCUCCUCAACAUGGCCGCUUCUGCCUAAUGACAGCUGGCAAGAUUCACAGCUAUAAAUACUAAGAGAAGGAAUCCUAGAAAGGGGGAUGCUUCUUCUUUUUCACCUCCACUUCUAAAAGAAGAGAAUAUCAUUGUAAGGCUCUGAACCUCUCCAUGGAGAGGCAGACCAAAUCGAUUUCAUCAAUAAACGAUCUCUACCCUCCUCCCCUUAACCAAUAACUAUUGUCUCUUACGUUUUAUUCAUUUGGUCUUUUGGUUUAUUACGAUCUGCUAUGAUUGGCCCUAUAUUUAUUUUAAUUGAUUUAUGCUUCUAAAGUGUAUAAGAACUUUGAGCUAAACAAUUUGGUGCCGUCUGUGGGAAUUUCGUAGUAGAAUCACGUAGUUCAUCCCCAGACAAAAAAGAAAAGAAGACACCAAAAAGGGAGGCAACCCAGCUUGAAUGAGCCAAAGUAACACAGCGGGUGAAGGGAACCUAAUAGCUCCGGCAAGAGUCCAAAGCCUUAACCCCCCCCCCCCCCCCCNNNNNNNNNNNNNNNNNNNNNNNNNNNNNNNNNNNNNNNNNNNNNNNNNNNNNNNNNNNNNNNNNNNNNNNNNNNNNNNNNNNNNNNNNNNNNNNNNNNNNNNNNNNNNNGCCCUCACACGAUGCAUCGCCCCUCCCUACGGGGAGAACACGGGAGAGCGACCCUCACCCAUUCGAUACGAGACCCUGCGGAAAGUGGCAUGAAGGCAUCUUGAACCAAGAUCCAUAACAGAAUCAGGCGAAAACAGGUCAGGCGAAAAGGCAAAAGUUCAACUAUGAGUUGAACUAGGACUCAGGCUACGUGCUUUCGAUAAUAAAAUUACAAAGGUUCAACUACGGUUGAACAAAAACUUAGGCUACGUGCCCUCGCCUGAAAGUUCAACUAUUAAUUGAACUGGGACUCAGGCUACGUGCCUUCGACAACAAAAUUGCAAUGGUUUAACUACGAUUGCAAAAUAGCUCAGGCUACGUGCCAUCAAAUGAGUUGAACUGGGACUCAGACUACGUGCAUUCGACAACAAAAUUGCAAAGGUUCAACUACGGUUGAACAACAACUUAGGCUACGUGGCAUCGACCGAAAGUUCAACUAUGAGUUGAACUAGGACUCAGGCUAUGUGCCUUCGACAACAAAAUUGCGAAGGUUCAAUUGCGGUUGAACAACAGUUACGGCUACGUGCCAUAGCCCGAAAGUUCAACUAUGAGUUGAAUGGGACUCAGGCUACGUGCCUUCGACAACAAAAUUGCAAAGGUUCAACUACGAUUGAACAACAGCUCACGCUACGUGCCAUCGCCUGAAAGUUCAACUAUGAGUUGAACUGGGACUCAUGCUACGUGCCUUCGACAACAAAAUUAGAAAGAUUCAACUACGGUUGAACAACAACUCAGGCUACGUGCCCUCGCCCGAAAGUUCAACUAUGAGUUGAACUAGGACUCAGGCUACAUGCCUUCAACAACAAAAUUGCAAAGGCUCAACUACGGUUGAACAACAGCUCAGGCUACGUGCCCGCGCCCGAAAGUUCAACUAUGAGUUGAACUGGGACUCAGACUACGUGCCUUCGACAACAAAAAUUGCAAAGGUUCAACUGCGGUUGAACAACAGUUCAAGCUACGUGCCAUCGCCCAAAAGUUCAACUAUGACUUGAACUAGGACUCAGGCUAUGUGCCCUCGAUAACAAAAUUGCAAAGGUUCAACUACGGUUGAACAACAGCUCAGACUACGUGCCAUCGCCCAAAAGUUCAACUAUGAGUUGAACUGGGACUCAGGCUACGUGCCUUCGAUAACAAAAUUGCAAAGGUUCAACUACGGUUGAACAACAGCUCAGGCUACGCGCCAUCGCCCAAAUGUUCAACUAUGAAUUGAACUUGGACUCAGACUACGUUCCUUCGACGACAAAAUUACAAAGGUUCAACUAUGGUUGAACAACAGAUCAGGCUACGUGCCUUCGACAACAAAAUUGCAAAGGUUCAACUACGGUCGAACAACCACUCAGGCUACGUGCCCUCGCCCGAAAGUUUAACUAUUAGUUGAACUGGGACUCAAGCUACGUGCCUUCGACAACAAAAUUGCAAAGGUUAAGCUACGGUUGAACAGCAGCUGAGGCUACGUGCCAUUGCUCAAAAGUUCAUUUACGAGUUGAACUGGGACUCAGGCUACGUGCCUUCGGAAAUAAAAUUGCAAAGGUUUAACUAAGGUUGAACAACAGCUCAGGCUAUUUGCCCUCACCCAAAAGUUUAACUAUGAGUUGAACUUUCGGCUAUGUGCCUUCAAGAACAAAAUUGCAAAGGUUCAACUGUAGUUGAAAACAACAUUGACCACGCGAUCUCGCACAAAAAUUCAACUACUGAAUGAAUCGAGGCCCAGGCCAAGCGCCCUUACCAUUGGACGUUGCAAGACCUAUUCCCCUAUGAAUGAGGGGAUAAGUUAAGCACCCUCACCAAUCAAGUAAGUACGCUUAACUCGAACUAAGAUUCAAGCCGCGAUAAGUUCGGCCCCAGUAGAAUUACAAGUCCAUGGCCAACAAUUCAACCACGCCCGAACUGGGACUAUGGCUACAUGCCACCCUCGCCAAAUAACGGCUACAACUUACUCAUGCCAAGUAAAGGAAAAUAGUAAACAAAAAGCGGCCAAUCACUGCUAGGUCCAUCGACGCUAGCAGCCCACCUAGUUUUUGACUAAGGCAAGCAAACGACCUGACAAUAGUCAGAUUCAUCCAACUGACCAAGACCAUCAAUGUCAUCAUGGCCAAGGCCACCAAAGUUGUCAUGACUAAAGUCAAAGGGAGAUAAACACGUCCCCCUAGGAAACUCUAAAGGCGAAACCCCCAUUGAACGGGUGAAAAAGAAAACUAGAAAACANNNNNNNNNNNNNNNNNNNNNNNNNNNNNNNNNNNNNNNNNNNNNNNNNNNNNNNNNNNNNNNNNNNUAUAUAUAUAUAUAUAUAUAUUCACAUCCUUAUUUAUAACAGGUUGCCUGCAUUUACAUACAGCCAAGGCUGGCAAACAAAAAAAAGAAAAGAAAGCCAAACGGAAAUAAAAAAGAACAACAACAAAAUAGAAUAAUAGCUAACUCUAUAAAAACCCCUUUUACUCGGUGCCACCUGCGCCACCCUCACGGCUGCCCGCACUAUUAUCAACGCCUCAGUGCCAUCAUCGGUCACCGGAGUGGCCGGGUCGAAGAAGAGCUGGUUGUUUGUUGAAGCUCUUGACGCCAUCAUCGGUCACCGGAGUGGCCGGGUCGAAGACAUAGCCAAGACGAGCUUCACGAGUCUUUUGGCGGGUCCCCUCACAAACAGCAUCGGUCACGACGCCGGCCUGCCACAAUUUCUUAUAUACGUCAAGAUAGGCCUUAGCAAAAGACCAAAGAUCAUGAGCGGGGCCGUAAGAGGUAGCAUGGUCCCUCAUACGCUGAUACUCGACAUUAAAGGCCGCGAUCCAAUCUGGUGCAACUUGGGCAUCCCGUUCGUAAAUGCCAAUGCGUUCUUCCAGCCCCGUUACUCUGAAAGCCGCAGCAGACCUCUCCAGCUCCGGUUCCCUCUCGCGAAUGCGGACCACCACCUCCAAUGCCCCGGCCUUCGUCAAAACAGUCCUGGCCUGCCGCCUCAAAGCAGUGAGCUUCUCGUCCAGCCUGACUACCUGCCUAAUCAGGGAUUUAGAGGGCUCCGCCAAAGCCUCCUGACUCCGGCACUCCUUCUCAGCUGCAGCAUUUCUCUCGGCCUCCGCCUCCUUGUCCCUGCGACGGAGUUUCUCCUCAAGAGCACUAACCCUGCUCUGAGCUUGCUGCACUAGAAGCUCCCGCCUCGCCAACUCCUCAACCAACUCUCGGAUGCGAGGUUGUUCCUCAGAUGCUCGCACAUCAUGCGACACCUAUCCCCGUAGCGACGAUAAUUCUCCAACACCCGCAAAAAAAGUCCCGAGCGAACGUUGGACCAUUGCAUGCUCUCUACCUCCAGAAGAAAGGUUUGUUAGACAAAAGUAGUGAUGAAGUUAGGAAAAAAACCAAGGCAAGAAAAUAAACAAAAGAAGAUCUACCCUAAAACCCAUCACGGUUGCCUCGGUCAUCAAUCUGACAUCUGAGACUUCCCUCAGCGAUCUGCUCUCCUCCUCCGAGAAAAAUGGCGCAAACAUCGGUACCAGAUUGUCCUCUUCAAGCAGCAGACUUUGGUCGGUAGGAAUCUCGGCAUAACAAUACGGUCCCUCUACAUGCGUCAUCACGUUGGUGAAGCCUUCCUGGAGUGUGCGAACGUCAUUGAACUCCAGGUCGGAUUCAGAGUCUAACUCCCCUCCCACAAUGUCCCUUUCUUCCUCGACCGGUCGAGUGGUCGAAGCUUCUCCCCCCGCCAAUGGAUUAGCACUCGUUUCCCUAACCAAAGCAGCCUAGGAACAAACUUCCCUCUCAGCAGCUAGCCACCGAAGCGACGGUUUCAUUACGGCCUAAGCCGGCCGGGGCAACCCCAAUUGUGUUUUCGCCUUCAAGGGUAGGCGCAGCUGCCUCCUUCCCAUCAACAUUCGAUGACGGAGAGUCCAAACAUACCACCUCUGCAGUAGGCGUAUAGGCAACCCUUCGCCUAACCAACAAUCUCUCCUCCUCCUCCUUCUCCUCCUCGUGCAACGAUGGUUUUGCCAUGGGGCAAAAUACCCCCAAAGAUGCCUCAACCCGAGUUGUAGACCGUGUUGGGGAAUGGGCUGCCGACGACUCAGCUAAAGUCUACCUUAGAGCUGGGCGUGGUGUUGGUGCCAUAGCCAGCUGAGUGUCGCACCCAGCCUACGGAAAGCAAGCUGAGGAGCCCUCACACGAUGCAUCGCCCGUGAUCAGCAAAAGAAAUAAAUUAAAAGGAAAGAAACUCAGCACGAUCAAACAAAAGAAAUGAAAUAACUCAAACACUCACCCGCAGCGAGCCUACGGCCAUGCCUUUACCAGACGGCCGGCCAUGUGCGAAUUCCCGUUGUCUGAGGAUGUAUGGCCUCGACCUAUUCACUAAUGCCGGACAGAGGAGCCGGUGGUGCCCUCUCGGCUGCAAACACAAGAUAAAGUCAAUACCCCUCAGAGUAAAGAACAAAAAGAACACACGGAAGACAGGACCCGACGGGCAUAGAACUCACGUAUAUGGUUCCAAGUCUCUGGGAAUUCCCAGAAAUUCCCCACUAAAUGCUCGGUCCUGACGUAGAAAAAGUUCUCGUAAGAAUAAGAGUCGAACGUAUCGUCUAGCUCAGUAGUCAAACCCAGACCCCACAAGGGACCAUUCGAAUCAUGGUACCACGGACCCUAUGAGGGGCAUACAGAGUCAUCACGUGCCACAUCGUUAUUUCCCUGCGCGCCAAUUCCACAUACUUGGCAAGCAUGGCGUAGAGCUUGUAAAAAGGAGGGGACGAGUUUCCCAAGGCACACUUCAUAUUAACAGCCCAAAUCUGCUACCAGAGCCGGAAGGGGAUGCUUUAACCCUAGUCUGAAAGGGUAAGCGUGAAAAUGUAAUAUCCGUGGCGGCCGAUAUGAACCCUCUCCUCGCUCCUGGCAAGGGAAAUGUCAGCAGAACGAGGAAUACCCCACUGCUCCCUUAAUUGGGCAAGGACCAUCUCACCCAUUAGUGGGGCCUCAUUAACGUGGUCCUCCCCCUCAUCGUCAGUGAAGUCGGUCACCGGACCUCUGAGCAGAAAAAGGAUAUCGACUGCCGAUGGGAUCCUAUCGGCCUUCGCCGACUCUGUGUCAAUCGCCACCAUAGAAUACCCAUCGACUGCCAGAAGAGUCACCGGAGAAAGCUCUGUGUAAGAACUACUUGCCCUUGCUGAUUACUGGAAAAUGAGUGAACGAGGUUCACCUAAAAAGGAGUAAAAAAUGGAGAUUGGGCAAAAGAAGACGAAGAACAACACGAGAUGAUGAAGAAAAAGAGUAAGAGAAGUUGCUUCUUUAGAAAUCUUACUUAGACAGAUACUGAAAAGUGAGAAACUGAUAACAUAAUUCAUUAUUUAUACUGGAAAAAUGGCUUUCACGAAUUCCGAAAGCCACAAUUAACUGCGCAACCAACCAUAAAACGGUUCGAAUGUAUGGAAACGGGUGUCAUAAUGACAAGUAAAUUCAGCAAUCCCGGUACGUGGGGGGAACGCCCAGUGUGCCUUCCUACACCGAGAACUAUUGCAGUGUACGUCCAGUGCACCCAUAACCGCCGAAGCCGCCUGCGGGAAUACAUUGUCUCGAGUUAAAACAUCCUACGACCAUCUUCCUAAAAAUUAUAAAUGAAGGGCUACGACUAUCUUCCUAAACAGUAUAAAUGGGUACGACCAUCCCACCAAAACUACCAAGGGCUAUAACUAUCCCCAAUCCCUAAAUGUAAAAUGAUUACGACCACUCUUCAGGUGCGUUGAUGGUAACAGCCGUCUCAUAAAUAUAAGCGACCACGUACGUCUUCAAGGUAAAAAACGACUGCGACUGUUCUUGUCACACCUCCGUUUUCCGCACCGCAAGGGCGCAAGGGAGUUCUUCCAAUUAAAGGACAAUCGAAAUAGGAUUAUUUAUUAAAGAUUCAGAGUCGCCACUUGGGAAAUAUAUAGUGUCCCAAGUCACCGGUUAAAUCCCAAAUCGAGGAAAAGAAUGACUCUAUUAAACAGUCCGCGCACCAGAAAUCCGGAUAAGGAAUUCUGUUAACCCGGGAGAAGGUGUUAGGCACUCCCGAGUUCCGUGGUUCUAGUACAGUCGCUCAACUGUCAUAUUCAGCUUAAUUAUCUGACUUUUACAAUUAUAUACUUAGUACAAUUCAUGAUUCUUUUAACCGCUUUAUUAUUAUUAUUAUUAUUUACAUAGAAUUGCAACAUUAUGAAAAUAUAUCUCGGACCACGUCACAGCCAGUGUACUCGUGGUCGUUGACACAUUUUGACUCUGUCGAUAUUUAGAUUUAGGUCGCAUAAAUGCGCACCCGAGUGUAGGAAGGCAAGAUUAAUUAAGGUGCGUCCUAAAGAGAGUCUAGCGAGUUGUAAUCUUUUGGGAGGAGGCCAUGGAAUUUGUUAAAUGGCCUAAUCCGAAGUCUAUCCGCUUAUUGAUCCUUUUAAUUGAGCACAUCACAAUUUUAUAAUCUUUUUUGGCGAGGCUCGCCCAUUUCAUUUUUAAAGGAUAUCCUAAAGCGACUAUUACUUUUUAUUUAUUUGAGUCUCCAAAGAAAAACGAAAAUCCUAUAUUAUUUACAAGUUAGUAUUAUUAGCCUAAGUUAUAAGCAUGGUAUUAAUUCCGAAAAAAUGAGUACGGGGAAGGAAGGAAUUGUUAACAGCUUGGCCCAACGUGCAUAGGUCAAAACUGGAGCCCGGGCCAUCUCGUUUUUAUCCUGGAGGCCUAGUUAUAUUAUCUACAUGUGUUUGAUAUUAACAAAUGAAGGCAGGAAUGAAAAGGUUGUCUUAAAUAUACAAGUUUUUGCCAAUUGGCUAUGCUAUUUGCCCAUUGAUCACCUACAAUCUGUUCAUGCUUCUACAUAACAUAGGCAGGAAAUGACGAGAACAUGAACUACUGUAUCACUAUCGUUUUAAAACACUAGCAUACGAGGAAAGAGUUUAACAUUUAUACUAUUACAGAUUAGUAUUCAGCUUUACAUGACAAUUAAUGACAUGAACCUAGUGAACUAACAACUAACAUAUAUAUACAACAUCAUAAGGUAUGAAUACAGCUACAAGACUUCAAGCUUUAAGGCUUCAUUUUUUAUUCAUGCUUCAAACUUUCAGCUACAUUGUGUACCAGUGUAGUUUGUGUACCUGGUAUUUAUGAUUCAAAGGAAGGAAGGAAGGAUCCGUAGUGAACAGGCAGUAACAAACACAUCACAACAACAGGUUCAGCAACAGAGAUUUCCAGCAAUAAUAGCAAUAAACCAGUGGCAAUAGAAGACCCAGGAAGGAUUUGAAAUCAAGCAGGACACUUUAAGAAACCAACAACAAUUCCAGAAAGUCCAAACAGCAACACCAAAUGUAUGACAAUAAUACCAGAAAGACAAUAGAGGUGAACCAGUACUCAAACCCAAAAAAUAUGGUCUGGUAGCAGAUGGAUAAUACGUAACACACUCAAGAACAACCACAAGCAACUUCAAGGAGCUAAAUAGCAAUACCAAAUGAACUCUAGUAAUACUAUAUGCACUCAACACCAAAACAAGAGGACCAUUUACAAGAGAAGCAAUGCUUCUGAUUCUGAAAACUCCAGGAAAAGCAAGUCAGCUUAAGUUUUAAAUAAAGACCAGCCUUAAACUCUCUCCGGAUUCAAAGAAGCCGACAGAAAAAUGCUCUCCGACUGACCCCUUUCUUUCAAAGAAAAUCCCCCCUUUUAUUCCAUUCUCUCCUCUCAAACACAUUUUCCUUUUCCGGAUUUUAAGCCUUAGUGGAUAGGUAAUCAUACCUGAAUUUGUCCAUUUAAAACAAAAGUAGUCUUCCACUAAUAGUUGUCUAUUAACUUUCCAAUCCCACUUAGAAAUGUCCUCUGUUGUUCAUUAGUGCCCUACUUAUUACUUAGUGGCCCACUAAUCCCACUAGUUCAAAUUAAAGUUGUUAAGGACCUACAGGAUAGACCAAACAGCCAAUCUAAAUUUCCUUAUUUUCUAUUUUUAAAACACCCCUGGAUCCUACUGGCUGCCACUGUUCUGAUUUAGAACAUCAGAAGACAAAACUAUACCUCUAAUUUUUGAUAUUAUCUUCUAAUUAACAGCUAUAGCCAAUCUUUAAUAAAGAAAUCACAGAACUGAAUCUAUAAUUAACAUUUAAACAUAAAACCAUCUAGUACUGAACAAAAAUGAAUUGAAACUAAUAAGCUCAGUUUUUCAACUUGGGUACCAACAGGCUCAAUCCAAUAACAACAUUAGAAAAGAAACAGGCUAAGCAAAACUACUGAACUUGAACAAUAAUUGCCUAUUAUCAAGUAAUUUUAUCAUUCAACCAUGAAAGACUAACUGACAAAUUUAUUUAAAUGAUUAUGUAGUUUAUAACAUAGAUGCAAUUAACAACAGACCAACAGAAUUAAAACAAACUAACAAGGUGAUUUCAGUUAACUUUAAUCAACCACAUAAACAACAAACACAGGAUAUGCAAACAUGUCGACUCCUGGCUUUGGGGUAAAACAAUGGACCAAAUAUGAACUAAUUACUGGAUGAUAAACACACAGUUCAUCAAACAAGCAGAAAGAAUCAACCAAAUAAAAGGUCUACUGAAGAUGGACAGAAUUGAAAGAAGAAUGAUAGAAAAAUCAAACACACUAAACUAAUCUGUAAACAAACACAAAAUAAAACACAAAUAAGAACCAGGUUAGCAGAACUAAUGAAUAGAGGCAUAUGCACAAGAGAAAGCAUACUGGCAAUUUAGCACUUGAAGCUACUAUUCAUGUUCUUCUAAAUUCUUUCAGUUUUCAAGUGAAUUCAGUUGACGACCUAUAAUUAAACGAUUAUAUGAAUAAUAUCAUAUGGCAAAACAAUCAAUUAACAGGGUGUAACAGGCAUGUUCUGGAUUUCAAUGGUUUAUCAGGGAACAUAAGAAUGAACUAAAUUAUUCUACGACUAAACACAUAACAAACAAUAACAGCAAAUAACAAAAAAAAUGAAUAGAAGAAAAGGACCAAACUAAAGGGUCUAUGGAGAUGAACAGAAUUGAAAGAAGAAAAUAAUAUAAGAAUCAAACAAAUCAGACCAGUCAUGCAAACAACAAAAAUAUAUGCAAAUAAGGAAAGAAGGAAAAAGAAGUACUUAUCUCUUAAAGCUCAAGAACAAACGACCCCAGGUCUCCAUGGACUCGACCAUUUUAAGUCGAACGGACCUUAAUCGGGGUGUUCUCAGUUGAUAACACCUAGAUUAAGGUCAACUAGACCUCAACCUCCCAUCGAUUUGAACAGAUUCCAUAGCUUUGGAAUUCUAGGGUUCAUGCGUUUGAUUUAGGGUUCGAACGUCUCCGGAUUCGAAGGAUUGGUUUGGAUAUUCGUGUUGGGCGUGGAAAGGGGGUUUAGUAGCAUAAAUAUGGUGACCGGCGGUGUAUUUGCCGCUGGGUUUCUGGUGUAAAGCGUUCAAGGGCUGCUAGGGUUUCAGGGGGUUUGUCUCUGAUGGUUUGAGAGAGAUGAAGAGGAAGAGGGUGGGGUGGCUUAUGGGGGGGUGCGGGGUGAGAGAAUGAGCUUAUAUACAAAGUGGGAGAAAUGAUCUUGGCCAUUAGAUCAUUCAAGAUCAAUGGCUAGGAUCACAAGGAUUAACCAAUACGGCGUCGUUUGGUUUAAGUGAGGGUGUUUGUGGGGAACGGGUAAUGAGUCGGGUUAGGAAAUGGGUAGGAGAGGGUUAAUCUUGAACGUUGGAUUAAAAGAGAUCAAUGGUUUGGAUUAAUUGGCCAUAUACGACGUCGUUUGGAUCAAAUCGGGAGACGGACUGGACCGUAAGAUCGAAUGAGAUCAACGGCCUAGAUCCGAGGUUCAGAAGACGCUGUUUCUCUUGUCUCAGUGAUCAGGUGAAAUGGACUGGGUCAUUACAUAAUUUGGGCCUAAUUUUUGGUUUUCAAAAUUCGGCCCAAUCCGAUUUGGCUCAAAUUUUUGCACUCUUUUUUUUCCUUCUUUAUAAUUAAAUAAAAUUCCUAAUUAAUUUGUAAAAAUAAAAAAAUAACACUACAAAAAUAUUAAUUAAUACUGAACAACAAUAAACACACACAUUUAAUUAAAAUAAAAUCACAUAAUGACAACAAAUAGAAUAAAAAUACAUAUUUUUGUGGUUUUCACUUUUAAAAAUCAAAUUAUGGUUUAAUUAAUUCCUAAAUGCACAAUUAAAUCCUAAACAUGCAUGAAACAUAUAUGUUUUAUAUUUUUUGGUUAACUACAACUAAUUAAAAUUGUACCCGAAGGUAACUUGUUUUUAUUUUGAUUUCUUUUGGAAUAGUUUCCUUGAAGAAAAAAUCACGUGCUCACAGCUACCCCUCUUUAUCCGAAAGCACAAAGAGCUUUGUGUUUUUGUGCAAAGAUAAAGUGAGCGGAUACGAGCGAUUUUUGCCCGUUGGAAUACUCCGUGUGAAGCAUUUUUUGAAACGGAUUUAACCGAACCUUUGCUUCAAAGGUUUCCUACAUAUCCUUAGCUAAAAGGGAAUUAGGUCAACGUAGUUCAAGAAGUUUCAGUAGCUGGGACUACCGUGGAACUGCGGUUUUUCUAUUACUACUGCUGUAUGCUGUUACCACUGCUUUACUGAUGUCCUUCUUACGCCGUUUCAAAAGGGAAAAAGAAAAAGCUAGGUUAGCCUACGGAUCACAAGAUCCUAUCUAUCUUCCAAUUGUUUUUGAUGGCCUUGCAUUCUUGUCAUCUUGGGUUUCUUCCGGUGCUUCUUUCUUCCGAGAGCUUGGGGAUGAUGCUGACCUUUUGCCUGUCUCAACACUAGUUUUCAUUGAUAUUUGCUUGGUCUGCUGGGGAUAUGGCUUCCUUCAUUACGUUUUUUGGCAAUUCCACUGGGGAUGUUUUCCCUCUAUAUUGGCGAUUCCACUGGAGCUACGGCUUUCUUCAUCAGCAUUUGUUAUGCUGGGGCUUUUGUUGUAACCUUCUGCCUUUCGGGGGGUUACCGAUUUCAAAUCAUAAUUGCAAAGCUAUAUGACUGGAGUUAUAUGCGAUGUGGUUAUAUGAGAUGUAGAUUCAAAGUGACACGUAGUCACAUGAGAUGCAGAUGCAAGAUGGCGCAUAGUCAUAUGAGAUGGAGAUGCAAAGUGACACGUAGUCGCAUGAGAUGUAUAUGAGAUGUAGAUGCAAAGUGACACGUAGUUACAUGAGAUGUUGAUGCAAGACGAUGCGUAGUCAUAUGAGAUGUAGAUGCAAAGUGACACGUAGUCACAUGAAAUGUGGAUGCUAAGUGAUGCGUAGUCACAUGAGAUGUAAAUGCAAAAUGACACGUAGUCAUAUCAGAUGUAGAUGCAAAGUGACGCGUAGUCACAUGAGAUGUAGAUACAAGAUGACUCGUAGUCAUAUGAGAUGCAGAUGCAAAGCUGCUAUGACACGUAGUCACAUGAGAUGUAGUAUGCAAUGUUAUACGACACGUAGUCAUAUGAGAUGAAGUCAUAACUUGAAUUCGGUUCCCCCCUUAGUACGCCCUUCUGCCAUUAUCAGCGUUUCUGCUUCAAAUCAAAGAAAACCUUAUUAGUUCAAAACAUGGUGAGUGGUUGUGCCACUCCUGUCGGGGAUUCUCUUGGGAUUUGGUCCACGUUUUCCCAACUGUUGCCUUUCCAGCCUUUCCCAUACUUCUCAUGAUAUUCUAGACCCAUCCGGUGGAGUGAAUUGGUCACUUUGGUAAAUCAAACCUAACCAACUCCACACCAAUUUCAAACAAGGCCGUUUUAUUUAAGAGGGUCUUGCAACAACGCUCUUUCAAUUUGUUGCCUUGUCUUCCGCUUGCCUUGUUCGUAUUCUGCCUUGUACCAUUUGGAAACUGGUAGCAAGCCCUGACAAACCUUUCUAAAAAAUGAACUGCUGGGGGAAAGUUAAAAUAAAUGAUAGAAAAAGGGAGAAAAUCUUUCUGAACGAACGCUGGGAAAAAGAAAAGAAAAGAAAAGACUUAUUUGGGUGGUGUACUGGCCCUGAUGAUCAUGUCAUAUAUUCUGGAAUAAUCGAUCCAGUCUAUUGGUAUUAAUCAAUUUCUGAUGGCUUCCUUUACUGGGGAAAAACAGGUGCCCAACGUUUGCCCAAAUGCAGAUCCUUUCCGCCAAUAUUAUCUUGUCGCCUCAUAGUGCCCUUCGAGGGGUUUUCACUAAUAAGACUCUCUCAUUUCUCUCGGCUCUCGUCGCCUUAUGGUGCUUGUGAAGAUUUUCACCGAUAAGACGCUCUCAUUUUAUUUUCUCAGCUGGGAAUGGGGGUGCUACCAAUAAGAUUCUCUCUACUGUGGAAUUCUUUGGAUAUCAACUCUACCGAGGAUUCCUUUGGCUAGCAAUCGUGCUAGGGAUUCCUGCUAGCAAUUGUGCUGGGGGUUCCUGCUAGCAGUUCCCUCAGCUCAUGAUCUUUCCUCGUCCAGGGAUCAGUGUUUUAUUCCUGGCUUCCACUUGCCUGACUCAGUAUCUUUCGGAUAUCGAUCGGGAGGUCUUUUUUGGUUAUAACAUGUGGGUUUUGUGGGCUUGGAAGAAAAAGGGGUAUCAAAAAUUCAAAGUGACUUCGAUGGGUGAGAGACUACAACCCUUGGAAUCAAAAUUUUUCUAACAACUUAACUUCUGCUUGGGGAUUUUUGAUUUUUCACGACAUUUCGUCACACUAUGACCGAGCCGUGAGGCGCCUAUGUAUCCUUUUUUGAGGAAUCAGGUCAAACAUAGUUCCCACAUAUUUGUUUUCUUUUUUUUCUUUUUUUCAAUUUUUUAUUUUUAUUUAUUUUUAUUUUUUAUUAUUAUUUUUUUAACGAUUCCAAGAGAGGGCUAUGAAAGAACAAAUACGGCUCAAAGGGGGAAACAAAGGUUGACAAUGUUUAGGUAGAAGAAAAAUUGCCUCCGUCAUUUCGUUAUCCGAUGAACACCAAGUACAAUAAAACAAAAUAAUGAUAAAUACAAUCAAGGAAUUUACACAUAGUAUCUCUUGACUGCGUGAGAAUUGAUAGCCAUGUCAAUGCAUCUUCCUUCAACAUCCGUCAAGCAAAUGGUCCUUGCUAGUUUGGGGCGAACUUUGCCCUUUGCCUCGACCUGAUGCGGGAGAAUCCAUUUCAAUACCCGCUGCCUUACUUCCAAUUUCCUGAUGUGGGAGAAUCCGUUUGAAUAUGGAUGCUGAUUUUUGUUUCCCUCACAUUGUCGGCAUUCCUCUAAUUGCCAGCUUCAGUGUCAUCCAAGUUGGGCUUGGGUUUUUCUUCGUAUUGGCUUAGUUCCCCGUUUACCUCUUUAAAGACUCCAUCCUCAUCAUAUCCCGAUUCACUAUCACAUUCGAUCUCUUGUAUAAUUAACUCGGAAUUGGAUUGAUCAUUUAGACUGGGCCGAAGAUCCGUCAUGCAUGCCAUGUCAUCAGGUCCAGUGAAAUAGAACCGUUCAAAAAUCAAAAGAAGAAGAAACAACAUUAAACAAAACAAGCAUAGAAAACUUUUAUUUUAAUAAAACAAGGGAUACCAGGGUUCACACUUUUGCUAAAAAACAAAAUUUGGAUUACACCCUGGAAUAAUCCAGAAAACGAGAAAGAUAAAUCAAGGCCUACUACUAAGACUCCCUCCGGGUAGGGAAAGGAGUUGUUGUCUGGUUCUUAAGGUUGUCCCUAGGCCCGCAAACUGCAUAUCAGCCCUGCUGGAACCCUCUCCAGCUUCUAAUACAUUGACGUCGGCGAUCAUCUUUGGCUCCCCCCUUUGUGCACCAGCUCGAUCAUAUGGGUUUCAUGAUGUGCGGGCAAUCGGUUCUGGUUAACGUUUGGUGCCUCCGGCGCCUAAACCUUAGUUUUCUUGGCGUCGAUAAGAUCUUGUAUCGCCUGCUUCAGCUUUCAACAUUUUUCAGUAUCAUGCCCAAGCAUUCCUGAAUAGUAUUCGCAUCUUAGCGAUUGGUCCACAUUUAGGGGUGGGGGAUUUGGAAACCUAUUCUCUAUAGGACUCAACAAACCCAACUGCUUUAACUUGUCAAAUAAAGCGGUAUAGGUGUCUCCCAACUCGGUAUAGGUUCUUUUGUUUUGUGUUCUUUCAUUUCUGUAUGUCGAAUUUUCCCGGAAACCUGCCCCUGGAGGGUUCCUGUUGGCUCUGGGUGGUGGAUAGGUGUUUUGUGGAGGCGGGUAUACGUUUUGUGGAGGUGUAUAUGUGUUUUGGGGAACCGACGUGCGCCGUUGUGGAUGAGCCGGGGUUGAUUGUAGGUUUGGGCUCGGUAUACGGCGAAGUGUGGUUCUUGUGGUGGAUAGUGGUAUUGUGGUGGGCUAUAUGGGGAAUGUGGAUAAUUUUGUUAGUGGGGACUAGGUUGGUCGUAGUAGUGCUGGCCGGAUCUAGACCAAUCGCUAGCUUUGACCGUGGCCACUUCUUCUCUCCUUUCUUCCCAAGCACACCUCCCGUGCCGCUUUGAAUAGCCUGAGGCAUUGCCCUAAGCGUUGCGUAGUUCAGGAUUUUAUCAGACUUAAGUCCCUCCUCUAUCAUAACCCCUAUCUUUACUACUUCAUUGAAGGAUUUUCCAACCGUCGUCACCAGGUGAUCAAAGUAAGUUGGAUCCAGUGUUUGCAGGAAGUAGUCCACCAUUUCCCACUCUCCCAUGGGAGGAUCAACCCUGGCUUCCUGUUCUCUCCAGAGGAACCCGAAUUCACGGAAGCUUUCUCUAGGAUUAUUCCCAGUCCUUAGUAAUGUGAGACGGUCAGGGACUAUCUCGAGAUUGUAUUGGAAGUGACAUGCGAAAGCCUGUGCUAGAUCAUCCUAGUUGUACCACCUGUUGGGAUCCUGUCUGGUAUACCAUUCCUGUGCCGAUCCACUUAAGCUUUGGCCAAAGUAAGCUAUCAGUAGCUCAUCUUUGCUGCCCGCUCCCCUCAUUUUGCAACAGAAUCCCUGUAAAUGUGCCAUAGGGUCGCCAUGCCCUUUAUAUAGAUCGAACUUGGGCAUCUUGAACCCUAACGACAACUGGACGUUAGGAAAAGGGCAUAAAUACUUGUAGGCUACACUGACUUGGUUGACUAAUCCAUGCAUGUUCCUGAAGGUUUGCUCCAGGCUUCUAACUUUCCUCAUUACCUCGUCCUGUUCUGGAUUCCUGGCUGGCUUUUCAUUCUCCGCUGGGAUCUCAAAUUUGGGAUUUUGGGUAUGUGUUUUAAAUGCGGGUUCUGGGGGAUAAUAUUGUGCCUCGUGAGCUUGAAACAAUGGCUAACUAAUAGAUCUUUGCUGUGUGGCUGGUGGGGGUCCCAUGAAAACGGACACAUUUGGAGGUGGCUGUUUCAGGUUGGGUGGUGGAGCUUGGGAGUGAUAGAGGUUUCUUCCCUGGAAGUAGUGUGACUCGGAAAGCCUGUUGACGGGCCAGGGUGAGGGCAUUCUGGCGUGUGCCCAGGUGGAGGAGUACGACUAAUGGACGAUUCAGGCCCCUUUUGCACAUUAGCCAAGGCCAACUUCAUUGCAUUCAUCUCCAACCCCAUUUUCUCUAUCUUUUCCAAGGCUUCUUUUUAGCAACUGUACCUCGGGCCUCUCUUCCUCAACAUUGUUCUCAGAAUUGGUCAUGCUUUUGGGUAUAAGCCCUUUAGAUCUUGUCUGAUAAUGGUAUGGUACCAGUACGCUCUAACAAAAUGACUGAUAGAAUUUGGAAAGAUAACAAACUUGUCAGCGUCACAGUUUUAACAGAUAUUGCACGUUGGGGAUGCAAUGCCCUUAGGCAGUUAACCAUUUCUAAUAUGAUUUCGCUCCAACUGUAUGCGUCAUCCGGCUUAUUUAUGAUUCCCUCUUUUUCUUUUUUUCCUUUUUUUAAUAAAAGACCCGGCAUUGCAAACACGGCCUUUCAGCACAUCGGGAACGAAGAUUUUAAGUCUGCGUUAGCUAACCGACCAAAAUCCCAAAAUAAUGAUUAAAGGUGGCUGUUAAUGCAAAGUCAGCCUUCCGACGUCCCUUUCGGGAACAUUCGUCUAUUUACGGCAAAAACAACAUCACUGACUAAUUUCGGACUCUUUUUUAUCAAAGAUAGAAAACCAGAUAUUUGCAAACACGGCCUUUCGGCGUCUCGGGGACGAAGAUUCUAAGGCUGUGUGGGUCAAUUGACCAAAAAUCUAAAAAAUGACCAAAGGUGGCCAUUUAUGCAAAGUCAGCCUUCCGGCGUCCCUUUCGGGAACAUUCGGCUAUUUUUUAUGUAAACAACAUCACAUCACUUCCUUAUGACGAAAAUUAAAAUUUUGAUAUUUUUUUUCUUUGUGUGGCUAUUUUAGCAAAAUGGGGGGUUGGACCCGAUGAGGGUUGCCUACAUAUCUCACAUCCGGUGUGAAUCAAACCAGCGUAGUUCGGGCAAUUACAUGAACUAUUUUAAAAACAACUCUUUUUUUUCAUUUUCAUUUUAUGGUAUUUCAAAAGCAAAUACUAUUUUUUUAAAAAUAAGACUCUUUUUCAUUUUUAUUUUUGGCAUUUCAUAAGCAAAUAACAAAACUACUUUCUAAAGCACGACUCUUUUUCAUUUUCAUUUUUCAUGGCAAAACAAACUAUUUUCCUUUUUUUUGAAAACAGGACAAAAUAAUGACUCUUUUUUCAUUUUUAACAAAACUAAAACAGCCUAUUUUUCCCAAACUAAAAACAAAUACACUUUUUUCUUUUUCAACAAUUAAUAAAUCAACCUAUUUUUCAAGCUAAAAAUAAAGAAUCUUUUUCUUUUUCAAUAAAACAACCUAUUUUCUUUUCCGUUGGCAAAUACACUAUUCUGAAAACAAGAAGACCUAAAAUAAAGACUCUUUCAUUUUCAUUUUUCUGGGCAAAACAGACUAUUUUUCCUUUUCUAUUUUUGAAAACAAGAGAGAAUAACGACUUUUUUUCUAUUUUUCCUUUGCUUUUUGGUAAAACUAAUAAAACAUUUUUUUUCAUUUUCUCAAAAUUUCGACAAAGUUUCGACGACAUUUGGAAAUUGAUUUUCUAAAAAAAAAUUAAUUAACACUCUACACUGCUAAUUUUUCUCUUUUUUUCUUCAAAUUUUCCGUGCAUUCAAAGCCGGUCAGCAUGCAUGUUUGAAGCAAAUAAAUGCAUAAAGCAAACAGGAUACAACAUGAUGGUCUUUUUACUUCAGGUUGCUUGUCCUAGACGGACCCAACCCAUGUGUUGAGUCCCCUAAGUCGAAUGCACAUGAUACAAAUAAACGUUCCUACUAGGGAUCCGACAUGAAGUUUUGUUAUACUAGGUUCAAACCUGAGUUUUUUGUUCUAGACCUGGCUUACCCGAGCGGACAACUCGAGCCGAGAAUGGGAAUGCGUGCCGGUAACCAAAAGAUCCUCCGGUUUAGCAAUUCCUCCAAAUCCUCGUUCUAAAUUGGGAUAAUGACACUAACAGAAAGAAGUCACGACCAGCGUGCACUCCUCGGGAGGGAGAAGAGAAGCGUUUCGGCACAGUUUAUAUAUAGUCCACAUAAUAUCAAAGCGGUAAAGAAUAAUCAUUUUGCACAUUAAGCACAUAUCACAUGGAAAUAUCAGAUAAUAAAAUAAAGCCAAAAAUACAACAAUUUCUGAGAUCGAAUUCUAACCCUGAACCAGUGGUUCUGGGCAUAUUCCCCAGCAGAGUCGCUAGAGAUGUUGCACCUCCUUUUUCCGCGCCCGCGGGACGCAAGGAGUUUUUCUGAAUUCUAACCCUGACCUAGUGGUACUGGGUCUUAUCCCCAGCAGAGUCGCUAGAGCUGUCGCACCUUCUUUUUCUACACCGCGAGGGUGCAAGGGAGUUUUUCCAAUUAAAGGAUAAUCGAAACGGGAUUAUUUAUUGAAGAUUCAGAGUCACCACUUGGAAAAUUUAUGGCGUCCCAAGUCACCGGUUAAAUCUCAAAUCUAGGAAAACAAUGACUCUAUUUAACAGUCUGCGCACUAGAAAUCCGGAUAAGGAAUUAUGUUAACCCGGGAGAAGGUGUUAGGCAUUCCCGAGUUCCGUGGUUCUAGAACAGUCGCUCAACUGUCAUAUUCGGCUUAAUUAUCUGAUUCUUAUUUAUCUGAUUUUUACAAUUAUAUACUUAGUGCAAGUCAUGAUUCUUUUAACCGCUUUUUUUUAAUUAUUAUUAUUGUUAUUAUUUACAGAGAAUUGCAACAUUGUGAAAAUAUAUCUCGAACCACGUCACAGUCAGUGUACCCGUGGUCGUUGACGCAUUUCGACUCUUUCGAGAUUUGGAUUUGGGUCGCAUAAAUGCACACCCGAGUUUAGGAAGGUAAGAUUAAUUAAGGCGCGUCCUAAAGAGAGUCUAGCAAGUUCUAAUCUUUUGGGAGGAGGCCACGGAAUUUGUUAAAUGGCCUAAUCCGAAGUCUAUCCGCUUAUUGAUCCUUUUAAUUGAGCGCCUCACAGUUUCAUAAUUUGGUUUUGGCGAGGCUCUCCCAUUUCAUUUUUAAUGGAUAUCCUAAAGCGACUACUAUUUUCUAUUUAUUUGCGUCUCUAAAGCAAAACGAAAAUCCUAUAUUAUUUACAAGUUAGUAUUAUUAGCCUAAGUUAUAAGCAUGGUAUUAAUUCCAAAAAAUGAGUACGGAGAAGGAAGGCAGUGAUAACAGCUUGGGUCCAGGCCCAACGUGCAUAGUUCAAAACUUGGGCCUGGGCCAUCUCAUUUUUAUCCUUGAGGCCUAGUGAUAAUAUCUACAUGUGUUUGAUACUAACAAAUGAAGGCAUGAACGAAAAGGUUUUCUUAAAUAGACAAGUUUUUGCCAAUUGGCUAUGCUAUUUAUCCGUUGAUCACCUACAAUAUGUUCAUUCUUCUAAAUAACAUAGGCUGGAAAUGACGAGAACAUGAACUACUGUAUCACUAUCUUUUUUAAACACUAGCAUACGAGGAAAGAGUUUAACAUUUAGACUAUUACGGAUUUUUAUUCAGCUUUACAUGACAAUUAAUGACCUGAACCUAGUGAACUAAUAACUAACAUAUAUAUACAACAUCAGAAGGUACGAGUACAACUACAAGACUUCAGGCUUUAAGGCAUCAUUUUUUAUUCAUGCUUCAAACUUUCAACUACAUUGUCUAUUUUUUAUUCAUGCUUCAAACUUUCAGCUACAUUGUGUACCAGUGUAGCUUGUGUACCUGGUAAUUUUGAAGCAAAGGAAGGAAGGAAGGAUCUGUAGUGAACAGGCAGUACAAACACAACACAACAACAGGUUCAACAGCAGAGAUUUCCAGCAAUAAUAGCAAUAAACCAGUGGCAAUAGAAGACCCAGGAAGGAUUUGAAAUCAAACAGGACACUUAAAGAAACCAACAACAAUUCCAGAAAGUCCAAACAUCAACACCAAGUGUAAGACAAUAAUACCAGAAAGCCAAUAGAGGUGAACCGGUGCUCAAACCCGAAAGAGAUGGUCUGGUAGCAGAUGGAGAAUCAGUAACACACUCAAGAAUAACCACAAGUAACUUCAAGGAGCUAAAUAGCAAUACCAAAUGAACUCUAGUAAUACUAUAUGGACUCAAAAUCAAAACAAGAGGACCAGUUACAAGAGAAGCAAUCCUUCUGAUUUUGAACACUCCAAGAAAAGCGAGCCAGAUUAAGUUUUAAAUAAAGAUCAGCCUUAAACUCUCUCCGGAUUCAAAGAAGCCCUCAGAAAAAUGCUCUCCGACUGACCCCUUUCUUUCAAAGAAAAUCCCCCUUUUAUUCCAUUCUCUCCUCUCAAUCACAUUUUCCUUUUCCGGAUAUUAGGCCUUACUGGAUAGGUAAUCAUACCUGAAUUGGUCCAUUUAAAACAAAAGUAGUCUUUCACUAAUAGUUGUCUAUUAAUUUUCCAAUGUCACUUAGAAAUGUCCCUCUUUUGUUUCUUAGUGCCCUACUUAUUACUUAGUGGCCCCAUAAUCCCAUUAGUUCAAAUUAAAGUUGUUAAGGCCCUACAGGAUAGACCAAAUAGUCAAACUAUAUUUCCUUAUUUUCUACUCCUAAAACACCCCUGGAUCCUACUGGCUGCCACUGUUCUGAUUCAGAACAUCAGAAGACAAAACUAUACCUUUAAUUUUCUAAAAUUAUCCUCUAAUUAACAGCUAUAGCCAAUCUUUAAUAACAAAAUCACAGAACUGAAUCUAUAAUUAACAUUUAAACACAAAACCAUCUACUACUGAACAAAAAUGAAUUGAAACUAAUAAGCUUAGUUUCUCACUUUGGGUACCAACAUGCUCAAUCCAAUUACAACAUUAGAAAAAGAAACAGACUAAGCAAAACUACUAAACUUGACCAAUAAUAGCCUAUUAUCAAGUUAUGUUAUCAUUCAAACAUGAAAGACUAACUGACAACUUUAUUUAAACGAUUAAAUAAUUUAUAACAUAGAUGCAAUUAAUAACAGACGAACAGAAUUAAAACAAACUAACAAGGUAAUUUCAGUUAACUUUAAUCAACCACAUAAACAACAAACACGGGAUAUACAAACGUGUCGAUUCCUGCCUUUGGGGUAAAACAAUGGACAAAAUAUGAAUUAAUUACUCGAUGAUAAACACACAGUUCAUAAAACAAGCAGAAAGAAUCAACCAAAUAAAAGGUCUACUGAAGAUGGACAGAAUUGAAAGAAGAAUGAUGGAAAAAUAAAACGGACUAAACUAACCUGCAAACAAACACAAAAUAACACACAAAUAAGAACCGUGUUAGCAGAACUAAUGAAUAGAGGCAUAUGCACAAGAGAAAGCAUACCGGCAAUUUAGCACUUGAAGCUAUUAUUCAUGUUCUUCUAAAUUCUUUCAGUUUUCAAGUGAAUUCAGUUGAUGACCUAUAAUUAAACGAUUAUAUGAAUAAUAUCAUAUGGCAAAACAAUCAAUUAACAGGGUGUAACAGGCAUGUUCUGGAUUUCAAUGGUUUAUCAGGGAACAUAAGAAUGAACUAAAUUAUUCUACGACUAAACACAUAACAAACAAUAACAGCAAAUAACAAAAAAAAUGAAUAGAAGAAAAGGACCAAACUAAAGGGUCUAUGGAGAUGAACAGAAUUGAAAGAAGAAAUAACAAUAACAGCAAAUAACAAAAAAAUGAACAGAAGAAAAGGACCAAACUAAAGGGUCUAUGGAGAUGAACAGAAUUGAAAGAAGAAAAUAAUAUAAGAAUCAAACAAAUCAGACCAGUCAUGCAAACAACAAAAAUAUAUGCAAAUAAGGAAAGAAGGAAAAAGAAGUACUUAUCUCUUAAAGCUCAAGAAC
rnacentral:lncRNA from 1 species